GGACUGAACGCUGGCGGCAUGCCUAACACAUGCAAGUCGAACGGCAGCAUGUCCCCCGCAAGGGGGAUGAUGGCGAGUGGCGGACGGGUGAGGAAUACAUCGGAAUCUACCCCGUUGUGGGGGAUAACCCAUCGAAAGGUGGGCUAAUACCGCAUAAGACGGUGACGUGAAAGCGGGGAACCUUCGGGCCUCGCGCGAUGGGAUGAGCCGAUGUCGGAUUAGCGUAGGUUGGGCGGGGUAAAGACGCCCACCGAAGGCGACGAUCCCGUAGCUGGUCUGAGAGGAUGAUCAGCCACACGUGGACUGAGACACGGCCCAGACCUCCGUACGGGAGCAGCGAGGUGGGAAUAGUGGACAAGUGGGCG
rnacentral:rRNA from 1 species